GUUGCAGUUAAAAGGCUCGUAGUUGGAUUUCUGCGGGGGCGGGGCGGCCGACCUCAACUCGAGGUUCGAGCUAGCACUUCCCCUGCAUCCUGCCGCGAACCGUGCUACCAUUAGUUUGGUGGCGCUGGGGAUCAGCUCGUUUACUUUGAGAAAAAUAGAGUGUUCAAAGCAGGCCACACGCCUUGAAUAAGUUAGCAUGGAAUAAUGAUAAAGGACUUCGGUUCUAUUUUGUUGGUGUUCGGGACUGAAGUAAUGAUUGAUAGGGACAGUUGGGGCGGUCAGUAUUCCAAAGCGAGAGGUGAAAUUCUUAGACCUUCGGAAGACUAACAGCUGCGAAAGCGUUCCGCAAGGAUGUUCCCUUUGAUCAAGAACGAAAGUUGGGGGAUCGAAGACGAUCAGAUACCGUCGUAGUCUCAACUAUAAACUAUACCAGCUAGGGAUCGGCCAACGUUUACUUAUAUCGACUUGGUCGGCACCUUAUGAGAAAUCAAAGCAUCUGGGUUCCGGGGGGAGUAUGGUC
rnacentral:rRNA from 1 species